UACGUAGGGGGCAAGCGUUGUCCGGAAUCAUUGGGCGUAAAGCGCGUGUAGGCGGCCCGAUAAGUCCGCUGUGAAAGUCCAGGGCUCAACCCUGGGAUGCCGGUGGAUACAGUCGGGCUCGAGUCCGGAAGAGGAGUGUGGAAUUCCUGGUGUAGCGGUGAAAUGCGCAGAUAUCAGGAGGAACACCAAUGGCGAAGGCAGCACUCUGGGACGUGACUGACGCUGAGACGCGAAAGCGUGGGGAGCAAACAGG
rnacentral:rRNA from 1 species